rnacentral:rRNA from 1 species
GCCAGACUCCUACGGGAGGCAGCAGUGAGGAAUAUUGGUCAAUGGGCGCAAGCCUGAACCAGCCAAGUCGCGUGAGGGAUGACGGUCCUAUGGAUUGUAAACCUCUUUUGUCGGGGAGCAAGGCCCGCCACGUGUGGCGGGAAGGAGAGUACCCGAAGAAAAAGCAUCGGCUAACUACGUGCCAGCAGCCGCGGUAAUACGUAGGGUGCGAGCGCUAAUCGGAAUUACUGGGCGUAAAGGGUGUGCAGGCGGCUGAGUAAGACAGAUGUGAAAUCCCCGGGCUUAACCUGGGAACCGCAUAUGUGACUGCUUGGCUAGAGUGCGUCAGAGGGAGGUGGAAUUCCACGUGUAGCAGUGAAAUGCGUAGAUAUGUGGAAGAACACCGAUGGCGAAGGCAGCCUCCUGGGACGCAACUGACGCUCAUACACGAAAGCGUGGGGAGCAAACAGGAUUAGAUACCCCUGUA